AGCACCAAGGAGGUUCGCAGCUCGUAAGUGUGGGUUCUGGGGCUGUGGGGGUGGCCCAGGGCAGCAAGACCCUACCUAUCCUGACCUGCUCUGUCCUCUAGAAUCCGCCAGGUGUCUGACGUACAGAAGCGUGUGCAAGUGGAUGUCAAGAUGGCCAUCCUGCAGAUCAUGAAGGAGCUGAAUAAGCGGGGCCGUGUGCUGGUCAACGAUGCCCAGAAGGUGACUGAGGGGCAGCAGGAGCGCCUGGAGCGGCAGCACUGGACCAUGACCAAGAUCCAGAAGCACCAGGAGCACAUUCUGCGCUUUGCCUCUUGGGCUCUGGAGAGUGACAACAACACAGCCCUUUUGCUUUCUAAGAAGUUGAUCUACUUCCAGCUGCACCGGGCCCUCAAGAUGAUUGUGGAUCCCGUGGAGCCACAUGGCGAGAUGAAGUUUCAGUGGGACCUCAAUGCCUGGACCAAGAGUGCUGAGGCCUUUGGUGGGUCCCCAGCUUUACCUCACUCUGUUAUUACCCCACGUGCUGCACCUACUUACGUUUCUCUCUUCUUUGUGCAGGCAAGAUUGUGGCAGAGCGUCCUGGCACUAACUCAACAGGCCCUGCACCCAUGGCCCCUCCAAGAGCCCCAGGGCCCCUGAGCAAGCAGGGCUCUGGCAGCAGCCAGCCCAUGGAGGUGCAGGAAGGCUAUGGCUUUGGGUCAGGUGAGUGGGUCUGCCUAGUGGGUGGGGAAGGGCCCCAGUGCUGUUUCUACCCCAACCUGCCAGUCUUCUUUCUCCAUUUUCUAAGGAGAUGAUCCCUACUCAAGUGCAGAGCCCCAUGUGUCAGGUGUGAAACGGUAAGUAUGGCACCUCCCCUGGGGGUGGAGGUGGAUGGAGGGUGGGGGUGUACUCAUGCCAGGUUGCUGCAUCUACAGGUCCCGCUCAGGUGAGGGCGAGGUGAGCGGCCUUAUGCGCAAGGUGCCACGAGUGAGCCUUGAACGCCUGGACCUGGACCUCACAGCUGACAGCCAGCCACCCGUCUUCAAGGUCUUCCCAGGCAGUACCACUGAGGACUACAACCUUAUUGUUAUUGAACGUGGCGCUGCCGCUGCAGCUACCGGCCAGCCAGGGACUGCGCCUGCAGGAACCCCUGGUGCCCCACCCCUGGCUGG
rnacentral:sRNA from 1 species